AACGAACGCUGGCGGCAUGCCUAACACAUGCAAGUCGAACGAGAUCUUCGGGUCUAGUGGCGCACGGGUGCGUAACGCGUGGGAAUCUGCCCUUUGGUUCGGAAUAACCGUUGGAAACGACUGCUAAUACCGGAUGAUGACGAAAGUCCAAAGAUUUAUCGCCAGAGGAUGAGCCCGCGUAGGAUUAGCUAGUUGGUGUGGUAAAGGCGCACCAAGGCGACGAUCCUUAGCUGGUCUGAGAGGACGAUCAGCCACACUGGGACUGAGACACGGCCCAGACUCCUACGGGAGGCAGCAGUGGGGAAUAUUGGACAAUGGGCGAAAGCCUGAUCCAGCAAUGCCGCGUGAGUGAUGAAGGCCUUAGGGUUGUAAAGCUCUUUUACCCGGGAUGAUAAUGACAGUACCGGGAGAAUAAGCUCCGGCUAACUCCGUGCCAGCAGCCGCCGCAG
rnacentral:rRNA from 1 species